UGAUCAGAUACGACAUAAGCCACGCCCACGAAUUUGAAGACCCGGGGCGUGACCUAUUUUGCUAUUUCGCCCCGUCUUCCCACUCAUUCGCCAAGUCGUAAGGCUCAGCUGAUCUGCCAAUCUCAACAUCGAUCGUAUCCCCUCGAAUUCGUCCCUGCAGAUCUGAAAUUUGUGCCGGGUUCCCGUCUCGGAUUGUUUUCUCGUUAUUGGCGAUCGAUGGAAUUGAUCUAGGACUGCCGUCCAAUUCUGAGGUUGUUUGAAUUCCUCUUUCUCGCCUAUUUUGGGUUGGGGUUUCGAUUCCGAUGUAUAGCAAUUUCAAGGAGCAGGCGAUCGAGUACGUGAAACAGGCGGUGCAGGAGGAUAAUGCCGGGAACUACGUCAAGGCCUUCCCCCUCUACAUGAACGCCCUCGAGUACUUCCGCACCCACCUUAAGUACGAGAAGAACCCCAAGAUCAAGGAGGCCAUCACCCACAAGUUCACGGAGUACCUGCGCCGCGCGGAGGAGAUCCGCGCAGUGCUUGAUGACGGCGGCGGCUCAGGUCCCGCCGCCAACGGGGACGCCGCCGUGGCCACGAGGCCCAAGGUCAAGCCCAAGGAUGGCGAAGGUGGGGGCGAGGAUCCUGAUCGAGCGAAGCUAAGGGCGGGGCUUACCUCUGCAAUAAUCACGGAGAAGCCCAACGUGAAGUGGAACGAUGUGGCGGGGCUCGAGAGUGCUAAGCAGGCCUUGCAGGAAGCCGUGAUCUUACCCGUCAAGUUCCCUCAAUUUUUCACGGGAAAGCGAAGGCCAUGGAGGGCAUUUCUUUUAUACGGUCCACCUGGAACUGGAAAGUCAUAUUUGGCUAAGGCUGUUGCUACGGAGGCUGAGUCAACCUUCUUUAGUAUAUCUUCAUCUGACCUAGUAUCAAAGUGGAUGGGUGAAAGUGAAAAGUUGGUUUCCAACCUUUUCCAAAUGGCUCGUGAAAAUACACCAUCCAUAAUCUUCAUUGAUGAAAUCGAUUCGUUAUGUGGACAACGUGGAGAAGGCAAUGAAAGUGAAGCUUCUAGGAGAAUCAAGACGGAACUUCUUGUGCAAAUGCAGGGUGUGGGAAACAAUGAUCAGAAAGUUCUUGUUCUUGCUGCAACUAAUACACCCUAUGCUCUGGAUCAGGCAGUCCGUCGACGUUUCGAUAAGAGAAUUUAUAUUCCUCUUCCUGAUCUUAAAGCCAGACAACACAUGUUUAAGGUACACCUGGGAGACACCCCUCAUAACUUGAGUGAAAGUGAUUUUGAGUAUUUAGCUUAUCGCACAGAAGGCUUUUCUGGUUCAGAUAUUGCUGUUUGUGUCAAGGAUGUACUUUUUGAACCAGUUCGGAAAGCUCAAGAUGCCACGCAUUUCUACAUGACCAGUGAGGGUAUGUGGUUGCCAUGUGGACCAAGACAUCCAGCUGCUGUUGAGACCACACUGCAAGAUCUUGCUGCAAAAGGUCUCGCUGAUAAGAUCCUUCCGCCAUCAAUCACAAGGACAGACUUUGAUAAAGUACUUGCAAGACAAAGACCAACUGUCAGCAAAGCAGAUCUAGAAGUCCACGAGAGUGUUUGGAGAAGAGGGUUGAUCAGUUUUGAUGCUUGUGUUCUUCAGCUAUGUGAGUGCACAUUGUAAUUUCCUAUUCCACCAAUCAACACAGACAAUUUGCUUACAAGAGCGUUCUUGAAAAUUGAAUGAAACACGCGUUAAAUCACAUUCAUCUCAAUGGGAGAACGGCUUUCUAAAUGAACUCCUGGAAUGUUUAUUGAUAUUUUGAAAUUGAAAAUUGGGAUUUGAUGCCUAGAUAUACGAAGGGGAGCAGUCUAUUUUGAGCAACAAUCGGAGGCCUAGGUUCAUGGAUCACAAAGUUCAUCCUUUACAGAAGAUAAGGAUGGAGGAUCAUCAAAUGUUGCCCAAGACAACUUGUGAAAGUCAACACUAUAUGUGGCGCUUGUUCAAGUCUUAAAUUUGUGAGAUUUGAACUCUAUUAAUUGUAAAUGGCAGAUUGAUGUCUAAACUUAUUUUUGAUGAUUGUGAUAGGUGUAAGUGGAAAACUAACUAUAAUGUUUUUUUUGUGGCAUGCUAUGUACAGAUGUGCAGAUCUUGUUCUUAACAAAUCUGUUGGCGCCUAGUCUAAAACUUGGUUGCAAUUUAGAAUGUGCAUUUUGUUAGGUUCUCAAACUUUUUAAUGGCAAUUUGAUGUAACUUUUUGGGUGAGUGUGAUA